rnacentral:misc_RNA from 1 species
UUAUACAUAUUAUUCCGAAUUAGAGCAGAUGUUACAUGAAGUUUUAAUUGAUGAUCAAAGCGUUUGUACAUAGAGAAUGAAAUCUAUUUUGGUGUUUUAUUGUUUGUUUGGUUUUUUUGUGUUUUUUAAUAUUUCACAAACACCAAUGAUUUUUUUAUGCAUGUUUAUAUUCAGAUGUUUUAUUCAUGGAAUCAAACAUCUUCAUCGUGGAGGAUUUAUGUUUGUUAUAAAUUGUGAAUAUUGUGUUCGCAACUAUGAUCUUUUAUGCCUUUUUAUCGAUUUUGUUUUUCAAUAAACGAUAAUAUUUUUG